ACGUUAUCUCUCUUACACUCUCUUUCUAGAUUUUUAAUUGUGUUGUCACGUUAUAUCUUAACCCUCUUUAAUAGAUAAUUCAACAACUUUCAAUGCAUUAUUUUCACUUUUAUUAUUAAAAUAUUUUCUCUCUCUCUAAAACCCCUUUUUCAGGACUAAUUCUUCAGAAUAUCUUUUUAGUUGGGAUUGUCACGUUAUCUCUUUUACACUCUCUUUCCAGAUUUUUAAUUGUGUUGUCACGUUAUAUCUUAACCCUCUUUAAUCGAUAAUUCAACAACUUCUAAUGCAUUAUUUUCACUUUUAUUAAUAAAAUAUUUUCUCUCUCUAAAACCCCUUUUCCAAAACUAAUUCUUCAGAAUAUCUUUUUUAAUUUUCAACUCUUAAUCUUCCAUGAUUUUCGUUUGAAUUGCAGGGUUUAAUAAUAUCAAAUUCACUCUUCAAUGGAUGCAUUCAAAAGAGUUACUAGAGGUUCAUCUUCUAAGUCUAAGGAGGUUAUACGAGGUGGAAAAAUGGCUAAACCUGUCGAGGUGCAAAAUUUCACAGAAUUUCAUGAAGUUGAAGAAGAACAAUUUUUUGGAGAAGAGAUAAUUUUUUUUUGCAUGUGUUGUGUAUUGCAUGUUUAGUUUAAUUUGUUUAGUAAUUUUUAAGAUUGAAAAAAAUACAUGUUACAAUGAAUUUGAAAGAGUAUUUGGAAUGUUUAGUCUGUUAUAGUCUCUAUGUAUUUUUGUAUUGGAAAAUUUUUUGACUGUCAUUUAUGUAAUUCUGUUCCUCUUUUUUGUAUUAGUUGUCAAUGAAAUACAGCUUCCAAGUUUGAUUGUCUAUUUACUAUUAUCAUAUACAUUUGUAAGUGUAUUCGAAAUUUUCAUCUUGUUAUAGUUAUUUUUUUUUUUACUUUUUUCAUAGUUCUAAUGUUUUUUGUAUUCACUAUUAUAGUUAGCAUGUAUUUCUGUAUUUAAUAUGUUUAUUGUAUUUUUUUUGUCAAUGUAACAAAUUUUAUAAGUUUGAUUGUGUAUUUACUAUUAUAUUGAGUUCUGUUGAUGUUUUAGUCAAGUAUGUAUUUUUGUAGUUCAUAAUUUUAUUGUAUUUUUGAUAUACAUAGAAUAGGAAUUGUAUAUUGUAUUCUGUAUUACAUAUGUAUAUAUCCAUAAAUUCAUUUCGUAUUCUAUUUUUUUUGUGUUAGUUAUGUUAAUGUACCACAUAUUUGUAACCAUAUGUGUUUUUUUUUGUAUGUUGUUGUAACUGUGUUGAUUUUUUAUUUAAUCAUGUUUUUUUGUUAUGUUAUUUUAGUAUUAUUUCAUUUUUUAGAAUUCAAUAUGCCAGGGGACUUCUUAUGCUUGCAAAAAGCUACCAAAAAAUGCACCCCACAUUCAUUGUAUAGUAAAUCAUGACAUUAAAUUCAAGUUGACUGACAAGCUUACACCGGAGCAGUAUAAUUAUUUUUGUGAGAGUACGUAUUUUAGUUAGUAUAUGAAAAUCAGAAAAUGUGUUGGGCAAGGUCAAAUUCACAGGUGAUGUAUGUCAGUAGAAGUAGAAGCUAGUAGUAAUCAGGCUCUUGCAAUCAAAGUAAAUGGAGUUAUUUUAAAGUUCACAAUUAGGAUGUUUGCGCUUAUUACUGGAUUAAACUGUGUUGGUGUUGUAGAGGAUUUCAAGUUUAACACAGAAGAACCUAACCGACUUAUUGUUCAGUACUUUGGUGGUAAUGAGAUCAUACGUAAAUCUGAUUUGUUCGAUAGGUUCAAUGGUAAAGUUUGGGUUGACAAUGAUGAUGAUGCGAUUAAGUUUGCAAUAUUAUAUUUCGUUCAUAUGUUUGUGCAUUCUGGCGAGAAGAGAUCAUUGCGAAUUCCUAGAAUUCAUUUUGAUUUAGUUGAAAGUGGUCGGUAUAUGCAUUAUCCUUGGGGCAGAAAAAUAUUUGAGUGGUUGCUACAGAGUAUCAACAAGGUUUUGACUACUGAUGGUCAAUAUUAUAGAAUAUGUGGUAUGCCUGUUGUCCUUCAAAUAUAGAUAUACGAGUGCAUGGGUAAGCGUCAGACGAAU